GACGAACGCUGGCGGCGUGCUUAACACAUGCAAGUCGAGCGGUAAGGCCCUUUCGGGGGUACACGAGCGGCGAACGGGUGAGUAACACGUGGGUGACCUGCCCUUAGCUCUGGGAUAAGCCUGGGAAACUUGGUCUAAUACCGGAUAUGACUCCAUGACGCAUGUUGUGGGGUGGAAAGCCUUGUGCGGCUAGGGAUGGGCCCGCGGCCUACCAGCUUGUUGGUGGGGUGAUGGCCUACCAAGGCGACGACGGGUAGCCGGCCUGAGAGGGCGACCGGCCACACUGGGACUGAGACACGGCCCAGACUCCUACGGGAGGCAGCAGUGGGGAAUCUUGCGCAAUGGGCGAAAGCCUGACGCAGCGACGCCGCGUGAGGGAUGACGGCC
rnacentral:rRNA from 1 species